CCUACGGGGUGCUGCAGUCGAGAAUCAUUCACAAUGGGGGAAACCCUGAUGGUGCGACGCCGCGUGGGGGAAUGAAGGUCUUCGGAUUGUAAACCCCUGUCAUGUGGGAGCAAAUUAAAAAGAUAGUACCACAAGAGGAAGAGACGGCUAACUCUGUGCCAGCAGCCGGGGGAAUACAGAGGUCUUAAGCGUUGUUCGGAAUCACUGGGCGUAAAGCGUGCGUAGGCUGUUUCGUAAGUCGUGUGUGAAAGGCGCGGGCUCAACCCGCGGACGGCACAUGAUACUGCGAGACUAGAGUAAUGGAGGGGGAACCGGAAUUCUCGGUGUAGCAGUGAAAUGCGUAGAUAUCGAGAGGAACACUCGUGGCGAAGGCGGGUUCCUGGACAUUAACUGACGCUGAGGCACGAAGGCCAGGGGAGCGAAAGGGAUUAGAUACCCCAGUAGUC
rnacentral:rRNA from 1 species